CGCAAAUGCGAAGAGAGCGAGAGGACUUACUGCUGAUGAGAAGGUUUCAGCAGUCUGGAUAGAAGAGGAAACAUUCUCUUAAGCCAAAGCCUAAUCCAGAGCAAAGUGCUAACUCUCUCCAGUUCCAUGGAGGCUGAGAGGCGAAGAAGCUGCACAAGAAAAGCUUGAAAUUGGCCGAUAUUGGUUCGUGAGGCACAAAGGAAAGAGACUGUCGUCCUAACCUCAAAGUCCAAGGUGAAGCGGCAGGCGCUGAUGCAGAAGCUCCAGCCACGUGGAGGCAAGGCCCUUCACCAGCAAAAAGACUGACUUGCGGAAAGCUCAGGUGAUAUGGUUAGCACCUUAUAAACAAUAAAGUAUUUUUUAAUGAAGGCGUGUACAUUGAUUUUUAGACGUAAUGCUAUUGUAUACUCACUAGACUACAGGGUAGUGUAAACAUAACUUUUAUAUGUGCUGGGAAGCCAGCAAAGUCAUUUGACUCAUUUUACUGUGGUAUUUGCUUUCUUGUGGUCUGGAACCAAAUCUUUAAGAUCUCUGAGGUUUGCCUGUAUACUUCCACUAGGUGCCUUAGCUGAGAGAAGACCUAAAACCUCUUGGUGGAUAACUGAAAGAAUCUUACCUCAUUUGGUCUCCAGAACCCUUUGGACAGAAAGUGACCCAUGAGAAAUCAAGCCAUGGAGAAAUAUGGAAACCCCGAUUCUGAGUAUUUUGUUAGGCAGAG
rnacentral:lncRNA from 1 species